CCUAACAAUGGCCCUUUCUCUUAAUCUUUACCAUUUUUAUUUUAAAAAUUCCUGGGAAGCAACAACACAAGCUGUGGUGGUUUCUUCAUCUAUACAGUGCUGCACCGUCCCUUUAGCUUGUUCUACAGAGCUGGCAUCCAAAAACCUUGGUGUUUAUUCCCACAAGCCUGUUUAUAAUGAUGCCCCAGGUUCAGCGGCAUGUCCCCUUUGGCUUUCCUCCUGAAGCACAGAAGCAUUUGAACAGAGCACACCAGGCCUCAGCCCAAAGAGACCUCAGAACUUCAGAAUUAUCCCCAGUUUAAUGCAUGUGAACCGAAGCCUACAACAACUGUUCAUCAUCUCUGCUCCUUUUGUUACUAUUGCCUGG